rnacentral:tRNA from 1 species
CAUUAUGAAGCUUGUACAGCAUUAGCCUUUUAAGCUAAAGAAGGGACCAUAUACACUCCCCAUAAUGA